UUGAAAUGCUUCUCCUCAUUCCUGUAAUGUUUUAGGCUAACUUGAAUGCGAUUGGUCAUUGGUCAGGUGAGGUGCCGGCUUGGCCCAUGGCAGGGGACUUAGGAUAAGGAACGCACUCUUGGCUUGGGACAGACUGGCAGCAUUUCCCGUUGGUAUGUGCAGGGCUGCCGAGCCAGUUUUAAAAGAGCAGAUUUAUAAAAAAUCCAGCUGUGAGUUUUCAUUUUUUUUUCCCUCUUAGAGCUGGAAGGCGGGGCCAAAACCACCCUCAAACUAGGCACUCCAUUGAUCAGGCUAGAGAGAUGUGGGCCCGUCUCACAGACAACAGCUAAGCACAGAGGAAAUAUUAGCUGGCAGAGAUAACGAAGAGGAAGCAGUGAGUGGCCGAGGAGCCAUCUGUCAGCUUCUGAGGCGCAGUUCUCAAGACAGCAGAAAAGGAAAUGAAGAAGAGAGGGCUUUUGUUCCAAAGGCACAGCAGCGCAGCCUAAGGACAUUUUCCAAAGAAAAAUCGAGGCAAAGGAAGCAUGUGACUGGCUGCGAGCUGCCGGGUUCCCGCAGUACGCUCAGCUGUACGAAGAUUCACAGUUUCCCAUCAACAUCGUGGCUGUCAAAAAAGACCAUGAUUUUCUUGAAAGGGACCUUGUAGAGCCUCUUUGCAGACGACUUAAUGCGUUGAACAAGUGCGCCUCGAUGAGACUUGAUGUGAACCUCCAAAGGAAGAAGGUGGGUGCCCCUCCCGGAGACCGCGACCACACCAGCAGAGCAGUCUGCUCUCACAGGCUGGGGAACAUGGGGCUGGAGAGCCGGUUCAGUGGUUAAGGGCACUUGCUGCUCUUCCAGAAUAUGGGAGUUUGGUUCCCAGCAUCCCCGUGACUGUCAACAACACCAGGUCCAGGGGAUCGCAUGCUCUCUUCUGGCCUCCAAGGACACACACACACACACACACACACACACACACACACACACACAUCUGUAAAAAAAAUAUAUCGAACCAAGGCAAAAUUCUCAUGUGCCCACCUUACUGUCUGUUUUGUUUCCAAAUAUCACAUCUUAUUCCCACUACUUAUCUGUCUGUUAUAAGACCUACUGAAAGAUGCAUUUGGCGAUUUCAU